CCAGGUGUGUUCUCACCUGAGUCUAGGUGAACAUGCCAGACGGGUAACUGUCUGGUAUGAAGCUUCACUGACAACAUUUUUAACGAGAUAGCUUAAAGGUAGUAGUGUGCGCUUAGAACCUAAGCGAUUUUUAG
rfam:Sclerotinia sclerotiorum 1980 TF-70 mitochondrion, complete genome.